GAAAGAACCUGAGACGUGACACUGAAAAUCAGUAGAAGAAAUACGCCACAUUUAUUCUACCGGGGAAGACAGUGGGUAAGAAAAAAAUACCGUAACAUUUAAAUUAAAAAAUAAUUAAAAAUUUAAAAGCAAAUAGAAAUUAAAACAAAAUACACUGAUAACCUCGCUGCCAGAACAAGAUACACCAAAAAAAAAUUUUUUUUUUUGAGUAUACAAAACAUACAAAGCAUCCUACAAACAGAAAGAAAUUGCAAACAGGGUCGAAUGGUGAGAUCCUACCAUUAUAUUUGUCAGCACUAAACCCGUGCCUCUUGCGCCUAUCCGAAGUUUCCUCGGAUUAAGAAGAAACAGCCAUGGUUAAACCGGUAUUUGCGACACCAACAAUUAUCUGUAGCCGACGUACCCCAACUUCUACAUGAGUGAAAAAUCGCCAGCAUAGCCAGGGCGAGACUAUUGCGAAUUCUAACUUGGUAUGAUUUAAAAAUUCCAGACACUGCUAAAUUUUUUUAAAUUGCAUUCUUCAGUACCUAGAUUAAUACAGGAGUUAUAAACCGCACGCAUGGCUAUAAUGGGGGCUCCUAUUACGGAACAGGAAUUUGCUACUACUAAAAUUAUGUAGGCAUGGUUAAAGCCAGAAUUGUUACAACCAGAAAUCGCAAACUGGAAUAACUCUCAACUUGCUACGGUAAGAAAUAACUAAACUCUGACUUGGUCAGACUAAGAAAUCAGGAGUUUGAGACCAGCCCAGGCAACAUGGCGAAAUCCUGUCUCUAGGAAGGAUACAAAAAAUUACCCGGGCGUGGUGGCGCGUGCCUGUGGUCCCAGCUACCCCGGAGGCUGGGGUGGGAGGAUCGCUUCAGCCCGGGAGGCGGAGGUUGCAGUGAGCCGAGAUCGCGGCACUGCACUCCAGCCUGGGCGACAGAGCCGGACCCCGUAUCAAGAAAGAAAGAGAAAAGAAAAAGAACCAAAGAAAAAGAAAAGUCACCAUCGCACGGUUAAGUCUGCCUUGCUACAGCUAAACAGUGACUUCCUAGGACCAAGAAAUCGCAGCCAGGGCUAGACCGAUGCCCUAAAUCGGGACUUGCUUAGGCUGAGAAAUCACAUUUUGGCUAGUUAUUUGGACAAGAGGUAGAAAUAGCGGGCACCGCGAAAUCGAAACUUGCUAGGACCAAGAAGCCAACGACGGGCGAAACCGCAGGGGCCUGCGAUAGAGACGCCAGCGGCGCCGCCGGGGGACUGGGUUCAGGAGGCCGAGCAGGAACCCGUGCGUCGGCGCUCGCGGCGCUGUGAAGAGACGGCGUCCGCGCAGCUCCUCUGCCUCUGGCUCGGAGGAGCGGCGGGCUCCCCCGCCCAGCGCCGGCGUCGCCCGGGAACCCCAGACUCUGCGCAACUGGCUGCGAUUCCAAAUCCCUCAGAUCGGCUACCAGAGCGCUGCCGCCACCGAGAAAAUGGAGGCACCGAGGAACAAGAUGUGCCGCGACCAAGAGAACUCGGCUUGGCGAAAUGGCGGUGCUGGGACCCUAAGAGUGACGCCAGCCGGAGGAGUUCCCAAGGACAACAUCCAUUUUGGCGGAACCAACGGUGUUGUCACGCAGAAAAUGUCGACCCUCGGAAAAGAGAGGUUCUGCGACCGAGAAAUUCGGUGCAACAAGUGCUGUGACAGAAAACCCCCCGCUCGGCGCUGCUGGCGAAAGAGCCAACAAAACGCUGGGUGCUGCCACCGUGACACCGACUUUAGGACCCCGGCCUCGGAUGGAGAAAGGAGGGUACGGAGCCACCACAUAACUUCCUAAUGUCUUCAAAUAGCGAAAGUGCUAGCCGGAAACUGCCGGCUGGGUUUACCUAUUGGUGCUCGUGUGGGACUAGCAGAUUCGAGAAACCAGCGGGACUGGAACCUAGUACACUUCGGCAGUUGAGAAAUGACUUACCAGGACAAAUACUGCUUCUGGCUCGAUGGUGCUGCCCAUGAACAUCCGCCGGCUCUGAGAAACGAGCUGCACUGUCAGUGAGAAACCGUGGGCACUGAGAAACGAGCGGACUGCAACUGAUAACUGCCCACCCAGUGCCACUACGACAAAGUGCUGCUGGCACUACUCCCACCCUCCGUCCUCAAAUCAGUCCCCUCCCGCCUAAGAAGACCUUUAUUUUUCCUAGCGAAGUCAUACUGAGGGCCCCAUCAACCGAUCCCUUGCGAUGCGCAUGGGAAAAGGAGGCAGUAUAGGGACCGAGAAUCGGGCGGAUUGGGCUGGCCCUGGUAACAAAAGCCAUCCGGGUCGCCAACCGUCUUCCACUGCAAGAAACAAACCUUCCAGUGGCUGGGCUCCGCCCUUCUCCUUGGUCAGAGCCCUCCAGGCUCCUAAGGGCGAAGCCGACACCUCAUCCCUUUGGAACUUGAAGUUCUCAGUCCAAGACCUCCGUGGAGAGUGAAAGACUCAAUGCCUCCUGACCGAGGCUUCAGGCCUGCCCCGGCAGCUAGGAAACCUGAAACUGCCAUUGAGCAGAAGGAAAACAUCCCUUUCCAGAACCUUUCUCGUUUUUCUAAAAAUCUGCACUUUUGGAAGUGAUCCCCCAAAGAGACCUCCAGACUCUACCAUGAGUGUCUCCAGCUGAACUCAUCGUGUCUAAUCCUCACCCUAGCUUAUCCUGUUCAAAUCAUUUCCAUCUUUUUCUGGAUGAACCUGGGCGGAUGUCAGACCAGAGAAGAGCACAGAAUGUACCAGAGAGGUAAGAAGACCCAUUUUGGGCUCUCACUUCUCACCCACUCCCAAGAUGGUCACCUCCAGUCUUCCCCCCUAUACCUUACC
rnacentral:lncRNA from 1 species